rnacentral:lncRNA from 1 species
CGGGAAACGUCCAGAACCCCGAAAUGUGGAGAAAACAACCUUCUUUUCACGGGGGCGUGGCCCGCCGGUUGCAGUUCGCGAAAUUGGCAAAAUGAUGUAAACAGGGAAGUUCGGCAGAUUUCAGUUCAUUGUAAACUUGCCAAGGGAGCCGCCCACAGACACGAGAGAGCUGCUUUGGGACAGUGAAUUACUCUUCUUUUGAGACGGUCUAAUGAUGCCUGGGUGGUGCCUUCGUAGGACGGUCGUCACACCUGAACAAGGGGGUCCCCGGCCCCGGGCCCCAUGCUUUACUGGGCCCUGUUCUGUCCCUCUUCUGGCAUCAUCUCCCAUGGAGAAAAGAAUGUGUUGAAGCCAAGAAGAUGCUCCCCCCA